UACGUAGGGACCAAGCGUUGUUCGGAUUUACUGGGCGUAAAGGGCGCGUAGGCGGCGUGACAAGUCACUUGUGAAAUCUCCGGGCUUAACUCGGAACGGUCAAGUGAUACUGUUGUGCUAGAGUACAGAAGGGGCAAUCGGAAUUCUUGGUGUAGCGGCGAAAUGCGUAGAUAUCAAGAGGAACACCAGAGGCGAAGGCGGAUUGCUGGGCUGAUACUGACGCUGAGGCGCGAAAGCUAGGGGAGCAAACGGG
rnacentral:rRNA from 1 species